rnacentral:rRNA from 1 species
CCCUUAGAUGUUCUGGGCUGCACGCGCGCUACACUGAUACUUUCAGCGAGUCCACCACCUUGCCUGGGAAGGUGGGGUAACCUCUGGAAAGUGCAUCGUGAUGGGGAUCGAUUAUUGUAAUUAUUAAUCUUCAACGAGGAAUUCCUAGUAAGCAUGUGUCAUCAGCCCGUGCUGAUUACGUCCCUGCCCUUUGUACACACCGCCCGUCGCUCCUACUGAUUGAGUGUCUCGGUGAAUUCUUUGAUCUUCUGUCGAUUCAGUUCACUGAUCCGACGGUGGAAAGUUGAAUGAACUUCGUCACUUAGAGGAAGGAGAAGUCGUAACA